CAAAGGUAGCAUAAUCAUUAGAGGUUUAAUUGGAAUCUGGUAUGAAGGGUUGGACAAAGGAAAGACUGUCUUUUAAAUAUAAUUUGAAUUUUACCUUUAGGUGAAAAGGCCUAAUUGUUUCAAAGGGACGAUAAGACCCUAUAAAGCUUUAUAAAUAACUUGAUCUUGGUUGAUUUGGAAUGUUAAAGACUAGGAUUAUAAAUUAUUUUAUUUCGUUGGGGCGAUGCGAGUAUAAUUGUUGUUAACUGCUUGAAUUUAAAUUCUGUUAUAAAAGAAUUAAAGAGUAUAUGAUCCUUUUUAAAGAUUAAAAGACUAAGUUACUUUAGGGAUAACAGCGUUAUUUCUUUUGAGAGUUCAUAUCGAAAAAGAAGAUUGCGACCUCGAUGUUGAAUUAAAUUAUCUAUAUAAUGCAGCCGUUAUAAGAGAGGGUCUGUUCGACCUUUAAAUAUUUACAUGAUUUGAGUUCA
rnacentral:rRNA from 1 species